CUACGGGCUGCAGCAGUGGGGAAUAUUGGACAAUGGGGGGAACCCUGAUCCAGCAAUGCCGCGUGUGUGAAGAAGGCCUGCGGGUUGUAAAGCACUUUCGGUUGGGAGGACUGCUUCUAGCACUAAUAUUGUUGGAAGUUGACGUUACCUUCAGAAGAAGCACCGGCUAACUCCGUGCCAGCAGCCGCGGUAAUACGGGGGGUGCAAGCGUUAAUCGGAAUUACUGGGCGUAAAGCGCGCGUAGGCGGCUAGAUCAGUCGGGUGUGAAAGCCCCGGGCUUAACCUGGGAACUGCAUCCGAUACUGUCUAGCUUGAGUACAGGAGAGGAGAGUGGAAUUCCACAUGUAGCGGUGAUAUGCGUAGAUAUGUGGAGGAACACCAAUGGCGAAGGCAGCUCUCUGGCCUGAUACUGACGCUGAGGUGCGAAAGCGUGGGGAGCAAACAGGAUUAGAUACCCCUGUAGUC
rnacentral:rRNA from 1 species